UAUGUGAUCGUCUCUCGCAUAUCAAUAAGCGGAGGAAAAGAAACUAACAAGGAUUCCCCUAGUAACGGCGAGUGAAGCGGGAAGAGCUCAAAUUUGAAAUCUUAAAGGGUUUCCCUUUACGAAUUGUAGUUUAAAGAAGUGUUUUCUGUUGAGGUUUUGGUAAAAGUUCUUUGGAAUAGGACAUCAUAGAGGGUGAGAAUCCCGUAUUUGACCCUUACUUUCAACUUUGUGAUACACUUUCAAAGAGUCGGAUUGUUUGGGAAUGCAGUCCAAAAUGGGUGGUAAAUUUCAUCUAAAGCUAAAUAUUGGCGAGAGACCGAUAGCGAACAAGUACCGUGAGGGAAAGAUGAAAAGAACUUUGAAAAGAGAGUUAAACAGUACGUGAAAUUGUCAAAAGGGAAGCGUUUGACACCAGUGUUGUUUUUCUGAAAAUCAAUUAAAGAACUGUUUAUGCUAAGUUGUUUAGACUUUAUCAGCUAUCUGUUUAGUUUUGAGCUUUUCUUUAAUGCACUUUUCAGUUAACAAGUCAACAUCAAUUUCUUUUGCUGUAAAAAAGCUUGAGGAAGGUGGCUUGAGAUUCGUCUUAAGUGUUUAUAGCCUCUUGCCUAUGCAGUCGGAGAGAUUGAGGUCUGCAGCGUAGAUCCUUCGGGGCUAAAUGCAUUUGUGCUAAGUUAUAGCAUUUUAUAGACAACUUGUUGACUAUGAUUUGUCUUGUAGCUUACUCGCUUAUGUUAUUUUACCUACGCUUAGGAUGUUGAGUAGCGACAUACGCAC
rnacentral:rRNA from 1 species